AGUGAACGCUGGCGGUAUGCCUAACACAUGCAAGUAGAACGGCAGCACAGAGGAGCUUGCUCCUGGGGUGGCGAGUGGCGGACGGUGAGGAAUACAUCGGAAUCUACUCUGUCGUGGAGGAUCACGUAGGGAAACUUACGCUAAUACCGCAUACGACCUACGGGUGAAAGCAGGGGCCCUUCGGACCUUGCGCGCUUGACUGAGCCGGUGGCGGAUUAGCUAGGUGGCGGGGUAAAGGCCCACCAAGGCGACGAUCCGUAGCUGGUCUGAGAGGAUGAUCAGCCACACUGGAACUGAGACACGGUCCAGACUCCUACGGGAGGCAGCAGUGGGGAAUAUUGGACAAUGGGCGCAAGCCUGAUCCAGCCAUACCGCGUGGGUGAAGAAGGCCUUCGGGUUGUAAAGCCCUUUUGUUGGGAAAGGAAUCCAGCUGGCUAAUACCCGGUCGGGAUGACGGUACCCAAAGAAUAAGCACCGGCUAACUUCGUGCCAGCAGCCGCGGUAA
rnacentral:rRNA from 1 species